rnacentral:snRNA from 1 species
GUGCUCGCUUCGGCAGCACAUAUACUAAAAAUUGGAACGAUACAGAGAAUAUUAGCAUGGACCCUGCGCAAGGAUGACACGCAAAUUCGUGAAGUGUUCCAUAUUAAA